rnacentral:lncRNA from 1 species
CUCAGGUUCGGACUCAGAACAACAACAAUGCAGCUGUCAAUUCGGACUCAAAACCGAUUCCAACUCGAACUCAACACCAUGUGGGAUUCGGUCUCAAACAAACUUCAACACAAGGAUGCAUUCAUAUUCAGCCAAUAGAAGGUUUAUAUGGUAGCACACUGCUAUGACUAAAACGUGACAAGAACUCGAAACUCUAAAGGACUAAAACUAAGACCAGCAACUCGACACAACCGAUGCAACCGAAAAUUCAACAAGCCCUAACUAAGCAGUGCUAGCAAAGGCUCAAAGGGUUUAUAGGAUUAUGGG